AAAAUUAAAAAAAAAGAAUCACAUCCCACACUAUUCUGGUUACCAAUACCCAUUCAUUUCCUCGUAAUUAAUUGCAUAAAAUGUAAUCAACCUGGUCGCGGAGGUGGUGCAUGGACGUAACGAAAUCGAGGACCGAUUUGCAUAUUUGCGUUCCGCGUGGAUCGCGUGCUACGCGAUGCGUCGACAGUGAGAAGAGAGAGGAGAGAUUUCUCAAUCGAAGCGGGGCGUAUCGCGCGAGGACGACAAGAGGCUUGAAAAUCCCAAGCAUUGACAGGAUAAUUACACGCACGUAGGCCGGUCGGUUGUCUGGUUCGUCCCGUUCGUUUCAUUUCGUUCGUCUGUCAGCCGUGGAGAACGAAAAGGUGGAGUGAACGAUGAGGCGAGAGAAGAAGAAGAAGAAGAAGAAGAAGAAGAAGAAGAAGAGGAAGAAAAAAAAGAAGACGAGAGCCUUUUACCACUUUUUGCCUCGUCUCGAACGAGAUUCACGACAGCCUGCUACCUGACGGAUUAACGGAUUGCCAGCUAUUAUUAUCCUCUGACAGGAACACCGUCGAUGUCUUAAGCAGCUCGCGGUACCUUGAACACGAGUAUGCGUGGGCGAGCUGAAAGAUCAUCAGGGAAAGUGAAAGCAUCGAACGUGGGACACGUAAAAAUACGCGUGUCCGACCGAUU